GCGAACGUGGCGGAACUGGUAGACGCACUGGAUUUAGGUUCCAGCGGUUUCCACCGUGUGGGUUCGAGUCCCACCGUUCGCACCA
rnacentral:tRNA from 1 species